rnacentral:pre_miRNA from 1 species
AACCUACUCCCUCCGUCCGAAAAUACUUGUCAUUGAAAUUGAUGUAUCUAGAUGUAUUUUAGUUUUAGAUACAUCAUUUUUAUCCAUUUGUGCGAGAAGUAAUUCCGGAUGAAGUGAGUAUAUU